UACGUAGGGUGCGAGCGUUAAUCGGAAUUACUGGGCGUAAAGCGUGCGCAGGCGGUUCUCCAAGUCCGUUGUGAAAGCCCCGGGCUCAACCUGGGAAUGGCAGUGGAAACUAGGGGACUGGAAUCUGGCAGAGGGGGGUGGAAUGCCGCGUGUAGCAGUGAAAUGCGUAGAGAUGCGGUGGAACACCGAUGGCGAAGGCAGCCCCCUGGGCUGAGAUUGACGCUCAGGCACGAAAGCGUGGGGAGCAAACAGG
rnacentral:rRNA from 1 species